rnacentral:rRNA from 1 species
CCUACGGGCGGCAGCAGUGGGGAAUAAUGGACAAUGGGCGAAAGCCUGAUCCAGCCAUGCCGCGUGUGUGAAGAAGGCCUUCGGGUUGUAAAGCACUUUCAGUGGGGAAGAAAGCCUUGGGGCUAAUACCCUCGAGGAAGGACAUCACCCACAGAAGAAGCACCGGCUAACUCCGUGCCAGCAGCCGCGGUAAUACGGAGGGUGCGAGCGUUAAUCGGAAUUACUGGGCGUAAAGCGCGCGUAGGCGGUCUGAUAAGCCGGUUGUGAAAGCCCCGGGCUCAACCUGGGAACGGCAUCCGGAACUGUCAGGCUAGAGUGCAGGAGAGGAAGGUAGAAUUCCCGGUGUAGCGGUGAAAUGCGUAGAGAUCGGGAGGAAUACCAGUGGCGAAGGCGGCCUUCUGGACUGACACUGACGCUGAGGUGCGAAAGCGUGGGUAGCAAACAGGAUUAGAUACCCUGGUAGUC